AGCCCUGUAGCUCAGUGGUUAGAGCACUUGUCUUACAAAUGAGAGGACCUGGGUUCGAUUCCCAGGCAGGUCGA